ACUGUGUCACACAAUUUAUACUGGGCAUGGAGUUCUCCUUCCCAGUUUUUUUAACCAGGAACUGAUCCUGGCCCAGCCCCAAGGUCGGGCUUGGAAUUUCUGACUCCCUCAGCCUCAGCCAGCCCUGGGACACAAACAAUUGAGGACAUGACAGGAAAAAGCUGCAGGAGAAGAUAAAUGCACAGGAAAUUUGCUGAAUACUGCAGCCACAAGAAAACACCCCAGGAUGAGACCUACAAAAAUCAGGAGGCAACGUGGAGAGGAGCAGGAGCUGAAGGCAGAGCAGGAUGUCUGGAGAACAUCAGGAGCAGAGGCUGGAGCAGAGAUGGACACAGAGGUGGACACCAGGGAGGGACACAGAGAUGGACCCCAGCCCUCCACCAGCAGGGACAAGGAACACCCAGCACUCACUGGUUUGGUGGAGGAGGAUGAAGAUGGUGAGACGAGCAAUCCAAAAUAUGUCCAUGGAUGUCCAGAAACAGAGAGGAUUUGGGGCAUCAGCACCCAAAAAUGAGCACCACAAAGAGGAAGAAGAAAAGUGCCUUGGUGGAGAGGAGGUGGCUUUAGACGUGGUUUGUGACAAAAAUGGAGCAACAAGGAAGAGCAAUUCAUACUCACACAGAAAUUUGUUGUGUUUAAAAAAAACCCACUCUGUUUUCAAGGGAAAAGAAGGAAACCCAAGGUGUUUAAAACAGAGCCCAACCCCGUUCCCAAGGAAAGAUGAGGGUGCCUGCUGGGACAGAGAGUGUCACCGUGGCCGUGUGUGACAAAUGGCUCAGGGGCUGGAGAGCGUUAUCCCAGAGAAUGUCAUGGUGCCCACGGAAUUGGUGCCCAUGGAAUUGGGGCCUCCAGGGCAUCCCUGGGGAGCGAGGCUGAGCCCAAAUCCUGGAAUGGUUUGGGUGGGAAGGGGCCUUAAAGCUCCCACCAGCCCAGGCUGCUCCAAGCCCUGUCCAGCCUGGCCUUGGA
rnacentral:lncRNA from 1 species